rnacentral:rRNA from 1 species
UAGGGAAUCUUCCACAAUGGGCGAAAGCCUGAUGGAGCAACGCCGCGUGUGUGAUGAAGGGUUUCGGCUCGUAAAACACUGUUGUAAGAGAAGAAUGACAUUGAGAGUAACUGUUCAAUGUGUGACGGUAUCUCGCCAGAAAGGAACGGCUAAAUACGUGCCAG